rnacentral:rRNA from 1 species
UCCUGAGCAAUGUUAAUCAUCUCAGGGUUAGUCGGCCCCUAAGCUGAGGCCAAACGGCGUAAGUAAUGGGAAACAGGUUAAAUAUUCCUGUACCUUCGACAUUUAAACUAAAGUGACGCAAGAGUGAAAGGAGAGCCACCUGAUGGAUGGUGGUCUAAGGUCGUAGUUGUGAGCAAUCAUGAUGAAAGCUGAACGGGAUGGCGCAAGCCUACAAACUCUCCCUAAUCAAGUUGCCAAGAAAAGCUUUAGUGUAUACUAAGAAGACCGUACCGCAAACCGACACAGGUAGAUGAGGAGAGUAUCCUAAGGUGCUCGAGUGAGCCGUAGUCAAGGAACUCGGCAAAUUAACCCCGUAACUUCGGGAUAAGGGGUGUCCAGAUUAUAUCUGGAUCGCAGAGAAAUGGGCCAAGCGACUGUUUAACAAAAACACAUGUCUAUGCAAAGCCUUUAAGGCGAAGUAUAUGGACUGACACCUGCCCGGUGCUGGAAGGUUAAGAGGAGAGGUUAGCGUAAGCGAAGCUUUGAAUCGAAGCCCCAGUAAACGGCGGCCGUAACUAUAACGGUCCUAAGGUAGCGAAAUUCCUUGUCGGGUAAGUUCCGACCUGCACGAAUGGUGUAACGAUUUGGUCACUGUCUCAACCACGGGCUCGGUGAACUUGUGGUACCGGUGAAGACGCCGGUUACCCGCAUAUGGACGGAAAGACCCCGUGCACCUUUACUGCACCCUAGCACUGGAUUCGGGUAAUCUAUGUGUAGAAUAGGUGGGAGACUAUGAAGCGGCGGCGCUAGCCGUCGUGGAGUCGCAAUGUGAAAUACCACCCUUGGCUUAUUUGAAUUCUAACCUACAUCCGUGAUCCGGGUGGGGGACACUGUUAGGCGGGUAGUUUGACUGGGGCGGUCGCCUCCUAAAUUGUAACGGAGGCUCUCAAAGGUAACCUCAACCUGGUUGGUAAUCAGGUGUUGAGCGCAAACGCAUAAGGUUGCUUAACUGCGAGACAGACAAGUCGAGCAGAUGCGAAAGCAGGAGUUAGUGAUCUGCCGGUUCCGAGUGGAAGGGCCGGCACUUAAAGGAUAAAAGGUACGCCGGGGAUAACAGGCUGAUCUCCUCCAAGAGUUCAUAUCGACGAGGAGGUUUGGCACCUCGAUGUCGGCUCAUCGCAUCCUGGGGCUGGAGAAGGUCCCAAGGGUUUGGCUGUUCGCCAAUUAAAGCGGUACGUGAGCUGGGUUCAGAACGUCGUGAGACAGUUCGGUCCCUAUCCUAUGCGGGCGAAAGAAACUUGAGAAGGCUCGUUCUUAGUACGAGAGGACCGGAACGAACGAACCUCUAGUGUACCAGUUGUUUUGCCAAAAGCACCGCUGGGUAGCUAUGUUCGGUUGAGAUAAGCGCUGAAAGCAUCUAAGCGCGAAACUCGCUUCAAGAUUAGGUUUCUCUUCCCUUCGGGGAAUAAGGCUCGUCGAAGAUUACGACGUUGAUAGGCUUCAGGUGUAAGCAUAGUAAUGUGUUCAGCCGAGAAGUACUAAUAAGCCGAAGACUUUACCUU